UACGGAGGGUGCGAGCGUUAAUCGGAAUUACUGGGCGUAAAGCGCAUGCAGGUGGUUUGUUAAGUCAGAUGUGAAAGCCCGGGGCUCAACCUCGGAAUAGCAUUUGAAACUGGCAGACUAGAGUACUGUAGAGGGGGGUAGAAUUUCAGGUGUAGCGGUGAAAUGCGUAGAGAUCUGAAGGAAUACCAGUGGCGAAGGCGGCCCCCUGGACAGAUACUGACACUCAGAUGCGAAAGCGUGGGGAGCAAACAGG
rnacentral:rRNA from 1 species